GGCCAGGUGGCGGAGUGGUUAACGCGGUAGACUCGAAAAUUUCUGUCUGACAGGAAUUCGUGCAAUCUACUUCCUUCGGGAGCGUCUGUUCGAAUCAGGCCCUGGUCG